UUACAGACACGUGCGGCGGCGGCACGGCCGCGUGCGGCGCAGGCUGCACGUGCGGUCCGAGCUGCGCUUGCGGCGAUGGAGGCAAGCCAUGCUGCCAGGGAAAGUAAUCUCACAUCUUAGAUCUACUAAUAUUUUCUUUAUUUAAUCUAAAUAUCUAAUUAGAAGUAAUUAGAUAUAACUAUGACGUAGUAUAAUUUAUCGCAAACAUACGUAUAAUCUUUGUAACGGAAGAAAUUCUACAUUUUAUUAUUCAUAGUUCUUAGGAUGUUGUCGUCAAAAUAUAAUUGUUAGAUGGUAGUAUACGCUUAAAGUAUUAAAAAAAAAUCUUAUUACAUAAUAUUUUUAAUAUAAACUAAUGGCUAUGUAUUCCUAGGCUAGCAGAUUGCUUGUGUCUAUUUACUAGGUAUAAUAAAUUGUGUUAAUAUGUAGUUUUAUCACAUUCAGUGUAAAUUUAAUCUAUAAGAUGGGUCUUUAGUACUGCAAUACUCAUUACAUUUAAGAUUAUAAAUGUGUAAGUGCACGCACACACGCAAAGUGUAUUUAUGUACUCGUAAGAUUAUGGUUUAUUAAAGGUAAAUAAAAAGGU